CCGAGGAGCCGGCCGGGCGGCAGCGGGGCGGGGCGGCCCCGGGGCUCCGAGCGCCGCCUCAGCUUCUGCGACCUCCCUUUUCCCCACUUAGAAUCGUGCAGAAGGAUCUGGAGACGUCCUAGAGAGGUUUGGGGGCAUCCAGGGGGUUCUGGACUCAUGCAGAAGAGUCUGGAGAUGUCCAAGGAGGAUCCAGGGAGUUCCCACGCCUGCCUGCAGCCGGACCCGGUGACACCGGAGCCCUCUGGCGCUGUCACCAUCCUCUGUCCCGAGGACGGGAGGUGAACUGUGUGCCACCAGCAGAGGGGACCACGGGUGACAUCAGUGUGGAACAGCCGUGACGCGGCGGCGUUGUCAUUGGGUGUCACCGUCACGCAGAGGGGACAAAAGGACCCCCCUGGGGGCAUUGCGUCGAAGUUGGGGACACCGUGAGCAGCUUGAGGACUUCCCAGGGGAAGUGGGGGCACCGCGUCACCGUGUCACACCCCAAAGGUGGGGACGCCCCCACAGUGUCACACCCCAAAGUUGGGGGCACCCCUGUAGUUUCACACCCCGAAGUUGGAAAAACCCCCACAGUGUCACACCCCAAAGUUGGGGACACCUCUGUGUCACCCCAAUGGUGUCCGACCCAAAGCUGGGGACACUCCACAGUGUCACACCCCAAAGUUGGGGACGCCCCGACAGUGUCACAUCUCAAAUUUGGGACAGCUCUGUGUCCCCCCAAUGGUGUCAGACCCCAAAGUUGGGGACGCCCCCACAGUGUCACAGCCCAAAGUUGGGGUCUGUCCCAGAGGUGGGAGUGCCCCCACAUCCCCACCAUGGCGUCACAUCCCAAAGUUGGGGACCCCCAUCUGGGGACCCAUUCUGUGCUCCCCCAAUUGCAGACAGCACUGUUCCCAUGGGGUGGGGGCGGGGGGCACCCUUUAUUUUUGGGAUUAAGGUUUAUUUCAUGAUAACGGGGGGUUGGGGAAUGCCCCCCCAUGUGAAUAAAGGGCGGAGGAGCGGCUGUGGGGCUCCGUGUGUAACACCGGGGGGUGCUUUGGGGACACUGCAGCAUCCCAGCCCCAUAGCCCCCAUGGCCCUAUAACCACUACAGCCCCAUCUCGUAGCCAUCCCAUAUCCAUAUCCCAUCCCAUAUCCCAUCCUGUAUCCAUAACCCUUCCAAUAUCCAAACCACCAUAUCCGUCCCACACCCAUAGCCCAAAUCCAUCCCAUAUCCGUAUCCCAAAUCCAUCCCGUAUCCAUACCCCAUCCCAUAUCCGUAUCCCAUCCCAUAUCUCAUCCCCUAUCCAUAUCCCAUCCCAACUCCAUGCCAAAUCUCUUUCUAUAUCCACAUCACCUUAUCCAUCCCAUAACCAUCCCAAAUCCAUCUCAAAUCCAUAUCUCAUCCCAGACCGAUCCCAUCUCCUUAUCCAUCCCGUAUCAAUGUCCCAUCCCUUAUCCAAUCCCAUACCCCAUCCUACAGCCAUCCCACAUCCAUACCCGCACAUCCCAUAUCCUAUCCCCAUCCUGUACCCCAUGUCCCAUAUCCAUUUCCAUCCCACAGCCUUCCCGAAUCCAUAUCCCCGCAUCCAUCCCGUGUCCACCCCAUAUCCAUUCCGUAUACUUAUCCCAUCCUAUGAUCAUCCCAAUCCCAUCCCAUAUCCAUAUCCCAUCCCAACUCCACCCCAUAUCGUUCCCAUACCUUUGCCAAGUCUGUCCCGUACCCGUAUACCCACUUCCCGCAUCCCAUUCCCAAUCCCAACCCCAAUCCCAAUCCCAAUCCCACACCUCAUUCCCAAUCCCACAUGCGAAUCCCGUAUCCCGCAUCCCAAUCCCUAUCCCGAAUCCCAAUGCCAAUCCCACAUCCCAGCCCCAUGUACUGUGUGUCAAUCUAUCGCAAUCCCAACUCUCAUAUCGCAGUCCUAACCCCAAUCCCACACCCCAAUCCCAAUCCCAAUGCCAUCCCCUAUUGCAAUAGGGCACACUCCGGGCCCCUCCCGCAGCUCCGUCCCGCCCCCAUCUUCUCAUUGGCUGAGGUGCAGCUCCGUCCCGGCCCCGGCCUCUCAUUGGCUGAGCCGCAGUUCCAUCCUGCCUCCAGCCUCUCAUUGGUCAGGUUCAGCUCCGUCCCGCCGCCGGCCUCUCAUUGGCUGAGGCGCAGCCCAGUCCCGCCCCCAUCCUCUCAUUGCUCAGCGGCAGCGCCGCCGGC
ensembl:lncRNA